GAAACUUGCUCAGGACCUGCCCUGGGGCUGCCGUGAGAGAGACAUAACAUGACAGGAGAGAGGGGCCAGUGCUGCACGUGGUCGGUGCUAAGUUGUUACUGGGGAUUGACUAAUUAGUUGAAUGAGAAACUGGAAACUGUCACCUUUGAUUUCCAGAAUAUUCUCUUUCACCUUCAGCUCCUUAUGGUGGCCUAUGAGAACGUGACUGUUAGGAGGUGUCCCAGAGAGAGGACCAUGCUCAUUCUUUCCCUUCUGGCUAUGACGGCCGGAGCAACAGCAGCCAUUUCAGACCUCGAAUUGGGCUCUGGCAUGGAGUCUUCACACACCCACGAGCAAAGCGGGAGAAACCUGGGUCUCCGGAAUGGGGAGCCCAGCUCUGAGAAGCCCUGGAAUUUGUACUUGGAAAACAGACUGACUUCCACUCUGCUCACGGCAGUCAUGACAGUGCUGUGUGGACCGUUGGCUUCCUUCAAAUCCAGUGUCCAGGCGAAGGACAGCCCGGGGGCCUCUGCUGCCUCCUCUUCACCUCUGACACGGGCCACCUUCAGUUGUCCCUCAGCAGCCAGCCUUGUCCCCUUGCCUGCCUCAAUCCCUUGGGCCAGUCCCUUGGGUCCUUACUCUCCUCUGAGUGCCCAGGUCUCACUGCUAGUCCUUCCCCCAGGCCCAAGCCCCCAGCCCGGUCAGACGGCCUCCUAGAGCCUGGGGUCCGAGGGGACCUUAGUUGCUCUCAGGUCUGACCCGAGCAGGGGCUCGGCCCUGGAGGACGCUCACCGCCCCAGGAGCGGCAGACCCCAGGCUGCACGGGGCGGGGGCUCCUCCCGGGAGCCUGGAGGCCGAGGCUCGGGUCUGCCCUCGAGGAGCCCGGCUCCUCGUCCUUCUCUUUGCGGGCCUCAGUGGCCCCGGCUGUGCUGUGGGCCGGGGACAGAGGGUCCCUCAUCCAGGUGGUCUCCCUGAGGGGGCCGGGGACCCUGGGGCAUGAAACAGGCGGGCGGUGACGUUGGUGUGUCAAGCAGCCUGUCGCUGGUGGCCGGAGGGACUGGUUGGUCAGGCUCAGGGACCAGCGGCCACUGUGCGGGGCCGCUCCUGGUUCGAGCCCUGCUGUCCUGCGCCUCGGGGACCCUGGCCUGGAGGGCGUCCGUGGCCCGCGGCUGCCGUGACACGUUCCAGGAGGCUGGGCUCUCAUGGGGACACGGGGCAGCAGGAGGGUCCCCCGCCUCUGAGGAGAGGCCGCCCCCGGGCCGUCCUCCGUUUCCCGGCGCCUGCCUCUGGGUCUGCUCCUGCGAUUCGCUGUGACUUUGCGGUUCCUGUCCCCCUGGGGACACUCCGCCCUAGUCCAGGGUGGUCCUGUGACUUAGUUUCAUUGGCGGACACCCUUUCUCUAACAAGACCUCGUUUGCGGGUACGGGUCAGGACG
rnacentral:lncRNA from 1 species